AUUCUAUUAUGAUUUCACAUAAUUGUUUCUUGUGAAAUAAAUAUAUUAGUUUCAUUUUAGAGUUGAUACGUAUGACUCGUAUUUGUACUCUUUGAAUUAGGUUAUCAUGUUUAGUAUUAUUUAUUUUGAUAAUUGUAGAGCGGUACAUGUUACUACCUUCCUUUUGAAACCUUGUGACUAUAAUUUGAUUCGGUUCAACAUGUACAUAUAGAACCCUUUUGUUGGUAUUAUGUUGCAUGUGUUGUGACAUGAUAUUUUUGUUAGAAUAUAUCGUAGAGUAUACCUGAGUUAUAACCACCUGUGGGGGUACCACAUGCACGUCGUCUUGG
rnacentral:lncRNA from 1 species